AGAGUUUGAUUCUGGCUCAGGACGAACGCUGGCGGCGUGCUUAACACAUGCAAGUCGAGCGAUGAAGUCCUCGGGAACAGAUUAGCGGCGGACGGGUGAGUAACACGUGGGUAACCUGCCUCAUAGAGGGGAAUAGCCUUCCGAAAGGAAGAUUAAUACCGCAUAAGAUUGUAGUUUCGCAUGAAACAGCAAUUAAAGGAGUAAUCCGCUAUGAGAUGGACCCGCGUCGCAUUAGCUAGUUGGUGAGGUAACGGCUCACCAAGGCGACGAUGCGUAGCCGACCUGAGAGGGUGAUCGGCCACAUUGGGACUGAGACACGGCCCAGACUCCUACGGGAGGCAGCAGUGGGGAAUAUUGCACAAUGGGGGAAACCCUGAUGCAGCCAACGCCGCGUGAGUGAUGACGGUCUUCGGAUUGUAAAGCUCUGUCUUUAGGGACGAUAAUGACGGUACCUAAGGAGGAAGCCACGGCUAACUACGUGCCAGCAGCUGC
rnacentral:rRNA from 1 species